rnacentral:rRNA from 1 species
UACGUAAGAGGCGAGCGUUGUCCGGAGUUACUGGGCGUAAAGGGUGCGCAGGCGGCGGUUCGCGUGGCGAGAUGAAAUCUCCUGGCUUACCUGGGAGGGUGGUCGCCAGACGGGAUCGCUUGAGGGUCGGAGAGGGGCGUGGAAUUCCGGGUGGAGCGGUGAAAUGCGUAGAGAUCCGGAGGAACACCGACGGCGUAGGCAGCGCCCUGGACGACACCUGACGCUGAGACGCGAAAGCGUGGGGAGCAAACAGG